AUUCACGUUCAGAACCAGAAAGGAAGGAAGAGAGAAAGAAAGAAGGAGAGAAAGAGAAAGAGAAAGAAAGAAGGAGAGAAAGAGAAAGGAGAUCCGUCCAAACCGUCGACAUUUUGGAGAAACCUCAAGUUGAGAAAAAUGCUAGAAAGGUUGAGAUGAAGCUGCUGCCAAAAUUUGGUGACCAUCGGAGAAGUUGGCCGCCUCGUGAACAGUGGCGCCGCGUGAAUAGUGCAACGCGUGAAUAGUGACUUAAAUUCUGUGUUUAGCUAAUUAAAUCACAUAAUUGAGGACGACGUACCGAGCUAUUGCUCGAUGACGGAACUCGAAUGUGUGAUCGUCGGAAUAGUAC